UCCAGGAAGUGCGUCAUCAGUCGGCGCCAGCGGUCGCACGCCGCGGAGCAGGGGCUCGGAGGUCCCGGGAUUACGGUGCUCGAGCACGCUGGUGGGAAAGGACCCGGGACUUGAACAGUGUUGUGCGGCGCCAUGCAGGUCUCCAGCCUCAAUGAGGUGAAGAUUUACAGCCUCAGCUGCGGCAAGUCCCUUCCUGAGUGGCUUUCUGAUAGGAAGAAGAGAGCGCUACAGAAGAAAGAUGUAGAUGUCCGUAGGAGAAUUGAACUUAUUCAGGACUUUGAAAUGCCUACUGUGUGUACCACUAUUAAGGUGUCAAAAGAUGGACAGUACAUUUUAGCAACUGGAACAUAUAAACCUCGGGUUCGAUGUUAUGACACCUAUCAAUUAUCCUUGAAGUUUGAAAGGUGUUUAGAUUCAGAAGUUGUCACCUUUGAAAUUUUGUCUGAUGACUACUCAAAGUAUGUAAGGUUUGCAGAAAAGCUAUCAGGAUACAGGAAGGCAUUAAGGAGCCGAUGGAGCGUUUUCAUUCUUAAUCCCAGUGGAGUGUGUGUGCAUGGACAUGUGUGUUUAGAUACAGAAAGUGAGAGAGAGAUUGUCUUCUUACAUAAUGAUAGAUACAUUGAAUUUCAUUCGCAAUCAGGUUUUUACUACAAAACCAGAAUACCAAAGUUUGGGAGAGAUUUCUCUUACCACUAUCCAUCCUGUGACUUGUACUUUGUUGGUGCAAGUUCUGAAGUUUAUAGGUUAAACUUAGAACAAGGACGAUACCUGAAUCCUCUACAAACUGAUGCUGCGGAGAAUAAUGUUUGUGACAUAAAUUCAGUGCAUGGCUUGUUUGCCACAGGAACCAUAGAGGGUAGAGUGGAGUGCUGGGACCCAAGAACUCGAAACAGAGUUGGCCUGUUAGACUGCGCCUUAAACAGUGUCACAGCAGAUUCAGAGAUAAACAGUUUACCAACAAUCUCUGCUUUGAAAUUUAAUGGUGCCUUGACCAUGGCAGUUGGAACAACCACAGGGCAGGUUUUAUUAUAUGACCUUCGAUCUGAUAAGCCAUUGCUAGUUAAAGAUCACCAGUAUGGGCUGCCCAUUAAGUCCGUUCAUUUCCAGGAUUCAUUAGAUCUGAUUUUGUCUGCUGACUCUCGAAUUGUCAAGAUGUGGAAUAAGAACUCCGGAAAAAUAUUUACUUCCUUGGAGCCAGAGCACGACCUUAAUGAUGUUUGUCUCUACCCCAACUCAGGCAUGCUUCUGACGGCCAAUGAAACCCCCAAGAUGGGCAUCUAUUACAUUCCAGUUUUGGGUCCUGCUCCUCGGUGGUGUUCCUUCUUAGACAACUUGACCGAAGAAUUAGAAGAGAAUCCAGAAAGCACAGUCUAUGAUGAUUAUAAAUUUGUCACCAAGAAAGACCUUGAAAAUUUAGGGCUCACCCACCUCAUUGGAUCUCCUUUCCUCCGGGCGUAUAUGCAUGGGUUUUUCAUGGAUAUAAGACUCUAUCACAAGGUGAAACUGAUGGUAAAUCCAUUUGCUUAUGAAGAAUAUAGGAAAGAUAAAAUACGACAGAAAAUAGAAGAAACACGUGCACAGAGAGUCCAGUUAAAGAAAUUGCCAAAAGUUAACAAAGAGCUGGCACUUAAAUUAAUUGAAGAAGAAGAGGAGAAGCAGAAAUCUACAUGGAAAAAGAAAGUUAAGAGUCUUCCUAAUAUUCUCACCGAUGAUCGAUUUAAAGUUAUGUUUGAGAACCCUGACUUCCAAGUAGAUGAAGAGAGUGAAGAAUUUAGGCUUCUGAAUCCACUUGUUUCAAAAAUUAGUGAAAAAAGGAAGAAGAAACUAAGACUCUUAGAGCAACAAGAACUUCGUGAAAAAGAAGAGGAGGAAGAGCCGGAAGGAAAACCAAGUGAUGCAGAAAGUUCGGAGAGUUCAGAUGAUGAAAAAGCCUGGGUUGAAGAGGUCAGGAAGCAACGCAGACUCCUCCAGCAGGAGGAAAAAGUGAAGCGGCAGGAACGACUCAAGGAGGACCAGCAGACAGUCCUAAAGCCCCAGUUUUAUGAGAUCAAAGCAGGAGAAGAAUUUAGAAGCUUCAAAGAUUCUGCCACAAAGCAGAAACUGAUGAACAAAACCCUUGAAGAUCGUUUGAAAAUUGAAGCAAAAAAUGGGACAUUGAGUGUAUCUGACACCACCGUUGGCAGCAAACAAUUGACAUUCACGUUAAAGAGGGAGUGCUGGAGGCUGUGGUGAAGUAGUCGGGAAGAGAAGGCAGAAACACCCAGGAGAAGCGCUAAUGGCCCAUAGAUCCCAUCCUCCUGAAUGCGCCACGUGGCGGCAAGGCCUUCCAGAUGCAGCCUUGGGAGAGAGGCUAGUCAUAGUCCUUUUUCUGCAUGGAAAUUUGUCUGCAGAACAAUAGUCACUGCUUACAAGCUCCUCUCGAAGCUCCUACCUUGGUGGAGAAAGUCUGGCAGAGCUUCCCAAAAUGUGUUCCAGGAGAUGUAAAUGGUGACUCUGGAAGAUUACUUUUGCCAUCAGACAGAUAAGGGAAAAACCUUGGACUGAUGUCCAUGUUGAAGACUUAUGAAGUCUGAACAGCAGAAGAAGCAACAGGAGGCUGAGAAACUGCAUCGACAAGAAAGGAAAAGACUCCGUCGUUCGGCCGGACACCUGAAGUCAAGACACAAAAGAGGACGGUCGUUUCAUUGAUUUGGGAAGUGGUCCUACCUGUGAUUAGGGAGGGGUACGUCUCCCCCAAACUGAUCAUCGUUAGGGUGUUAAACACAGACGAGGAAACACACGUUUUUAAAGUUCAUGUACUUUCUUGUACACAGAGGUAAAGGUUUGAAAACCUGUGCCUUGUGGAUUGGACUUUGAAGCUGGCCCCGCCGACGGCCACCGCAUAGCCCCAAGGGUGUGCUUGCAAGUCGUUGCUCCUUGGAAACAUUGUCCUUUCCCCAUGGCUUUAAUCAUGAAAACCAGGUUGGGGUUUUUUUUAAUAUUGUGAAAUGUACACCAUGAAAUGAAAGGUUUAUGCUGUGCUAGAAACCAAGGUUUAUCAUGCUCUAGGAACUUUUUUCUUGCACUGUCUACUGCCAUUCAUGAUUAAACCAUCCAGAAAUACCA